rnacentral:sRNA from 1 species
GCCGGGCGUUGUGGCAGGCGCCUGUGGUCCCAGCUACUUGGGAGGCGGAGGCAGGAGACUCGCUUGAGCCCAGGAGUUGGAGGUUGCUGUGAGCUGUAAAGCCAGGGCACUCUACCCAGGGGGACAGCUUGAGGCUCUGUUUCAAAAAAAAAAAACAAAAACAAAAACAAAACUCUAACCCUGGCCAACAUCUUUUUUUUGUGAGACAGAGUCUCACUAUGUUGCCCUUGGUAGAGUGAUGUGGUGUCACAGCUCACAGCAACCUCAAACUCUUGGGCUUAAGCGAUUCUCUUGC